GACGAACGCUGGCGGCGUGCCUAACACAUGCAAGUCGAACGGGGUUACGGGAGCUUGCACUGAGACAUGAGAGUGGCGCACGGGUGAGUAAUAUGUAGGAACGUACCUAUUGGUUUGGGAUAACGCUUGGAAACGAGUGCUAAUACCGGAUAAGCCCUGAGGGGGAAAGAUUUAUUGCCGAUAGAACGGCCUGCAUCAGAUUAGGUAGUUGGUGGGGUAAAGGCCUACCAAGCCGACGAUCUGUAGCUGGUCUGAGAGGACGAUCAGCCACAUUGGGACUGAGACACGGCCCAGACUCCUACGGGAGGCAGCAGUGAGGAAUAUUGGGCAAUGGGGGCAACCCUGACCCAGCCAUGCCGCGUGAGUGAAGAAGGUUUUCGGAUUGUAAAGCUCUUUCGGAUGUGACGAUGAUGACGGUAGCAUCUAAAGAAGCCCCGGCAAAACUUCGUG
rnacentral:rRNA from 1 species